rnacentral:rRNA from 1 species
GACGAACGCUGGCGGCGUGCCUAAUACAUGCGAGUCGAGCGAAGUUUUUCUGGUGCUUGCACUAGAAAAACUUAGCGGCGAACGGGUGAGUAACACGUAAAGAACCUGCCUCAUAGACUGGGACAACUAUUGGAAACGAUAGCUAAUACCGGAUAACAGCAUUAACUGCAUGGUUGAUGUUUAAAAGUUGGUUUUGCUAACACUAUGAGAUGGCUUUGCGGUGCAUUAGCUAGUUGGUGGGGUAAAGGCCUACCAAGGCGACGAUGCAUAGCCGACCUGAGAGGGUGAUCGGCCACACUGGGACUGAGACACGGCCCAGACUCCUACGGGAGGCAGCAGUAGGGAAUCUUCCGCAAUGGGCGAAAGCCUGACGGAGCAACGCCGCGUGAGUGAAGAAGGAUUUCGGUUCGUAAAGCUCUGUUGUUAGGGAAGAAUGAUUGUGUAGUAACUAUACACAGUAGAGACGGUACCUAACCAGAAAGCCACGGCUAACUACGUG